AAAUUCAAUUUCAUAAAUAUUUUUUUGGUUAAAUGUAAGAACGGUUAAAAACUAACUACUUUUCAAUCAAUUCGAUCAUUUUUCAUCUUUUCUCCUUUCCUCUGUUUCUUCCAAAAAACAAUUUUUCGGCGAUGGAUAUUGCAGAGAAAGAGGAAUAAGGCUUAAAUUGGGCUUUGUGUAGGGUUUUAGAGAGAAGGAGGGAAUCAAUUACCGAAGAAACAGCGAUGGCCACAUAUACUAAAUCGAGUAAUUUAUCGAAACUGAAGCCCGGAGUUGGAGAUGGCCCUUCUUCUUCAAAACCCAGAAUCGAUUCAUCUGCAUCAAAAAAGAAAAUUAUUGGGGGAUCAAUCAGGAAUUCUGCAGCUGAUUCCAAAAAUAGAUCCAUUUUCAGCUCUGGCUCUAAAAUGAUGAAGAAAACGUCUACUCAAACGAAAGAUGAUAAAAAAACUGUGAGUAGAACCAGAGAGAAGAAAGUGUAUUCUUUGGCUGGCCAGAAAUUUGAUGUUCCUGAAGAGCGGGAGCCAUUGAGAAUAUUUUACGAAUCGUUGUCUAAGCAGAUUCCUUCUAGUGAAAUGGCUGAGUUUUGGUUGAUGGAACACGGCAUGCUGUCACCUGAGAGGGCAAGAAAAGCUCAUGAGAAGAAGCAGAGGAAGCAAAAGCAGCUACGUUCGGGCACUCCCAUAAAAUCUCCACCGCCCUCCACAUCAAGUAGACCUGAUAGCUCCAAGAAGCCUCAGCUAGUUCCCAAGAAUGGUGACGUAAAAGCAAAGAAGCGGAUAAUGGAAGACAGCGACGAUGAUGAUGAUUUCGUGCUAAGCCACAAGAGGAGAAAAACUUAAGCAAACCAUACUAAAAAAACCAUCAGUUUGUACUUUGUGUACAACAAUUACAGCUCCAGCCUCCAGCCUGAUUUGUCUUAUUGGUCUAUAAAUGCUCGUUGCCAAGGCCGAGGAUAGCCUCUGCCACGGAGAUGCUGCAACGUGACCGUGUUAUGGAACAUCAACAGAGGGAAAAAAUCAUUAAAAACCUCCCCAAAUGUUAAAGGAAGCUAAGAGAAAGAUGCAGAAGAAGCAUGAUCCAGUUUGCAUUGGGUGGAUGGAUUUGUUGUUGCCUGAAUUGGAGAGUGGAGUUUGGCAGCUCAUUGAUUGGAGAGAGAGGGAGAGUUGAUGGAUGGUGAGCAUUGAAGUGUAGGGGCCAUCACUGUUUAAGCAAUAGAUGGAAUAGGACAAACCACAGCUUUCUCUGAUGUGGCAACACACACUGAGGGUGAGAUUUUGACAUGAUAAAAGUGAAACAUUUGAUCUCAAACCAACAGCAUUAGGAAAAAACUUUCAUCCCUUAUCCACAAUUGAAUUUAUAUCCAUUUUCCAUACAAUUAAUUUUGCACGCUUUAGUGUAACAGUGUUUUGUGUUGUAAUUUUGUCAUAUUUGGGGAAAAAAUGUCGUGUGCAUUUAUUACUAUCCGUGAUUAAUUAAAAGAGGGAACAUCUUUUUAGGUCCA